rnacentral:rRNA from 1 species
AGGAAUUGACGGGGACCCGCACAAGCGGUGGAUGAUGUGGUUUAAUUCGAUGCAACGCGAAAAACCUUACCCACCUUUGACAUGUACGGAAUUUGCCAGAGAUGGCUUAGUGCUCGAAAGAGAACCGUAACACAGGUGCUGCAUGGCUGUCGUCAGCUCGUGUCGUGAGAUGUUGGGUUAAGUCCCGCAACGAGCGCAACCCUUGUCAUUAGUUGCUACAUUCAGUUGGGCACUCUAAUGAGACUGCCGGUGACAAACCGGAGGAAGGUGGGGAUGACGUCAAGUCCUCAUGGCCCUUAUAGGUGGGGCUACACACGUCAUACAAUGGCUGGUACAAAGGGUUGCCAACCCGCGAGGGGGAGCUAAUCCCAUAAAACCAGUCGUAGUCCGGAUCGCAGUCUGCAACUCGACUGCGUGAAGUCGGAAUCGCUAGUAAUCGUGGAUCAGAAUGUCACGGUGAAUACGUUCCCGGGUCUUGUACACACCGCCCGUCACACCAUGGGAGCGGGUUCUGCCAGAAGUAGUUAGCCUAACCGCAAGGAGGGCGAUUACCACGGCAGGGUUCGUGACUGGGGUGAAGUCGUAACAAGGUAAC